GACGAACGCUGGCGGCGUGCCUAAUACAUGCAAGUUGAGCGCUGAAGGUUGGUACUUGUACCGACUGGAUGAGCAGCGAACGGGUGAGUAACGCGUGGGGAAUCUGCCUUUGAGCGGGGGACAACAUUUGGAAACGAAUGCUAAUACCGCAUAAAAACUUUAAACACAAGUUUUAAGUUUGAAAGAUGCAAUUGCAUCACUCAAAGAUGAUCCCGCGUUGUAUUAGCUAGUUGGUGAGGUAAAGGCUCACCAAGGCGAUGAUACAUAGCCGACCUGAGGGGGUGGCCGGCCACAUUGGGACUGAGAAACGGCCCAAACUCCUACGGGAGGCAGCAGUAGGGAAUCUUCGGCAAUGGACGAAAGUCUGACCGAGCAACGCCGCGUGAGUGAAGAAGGUUUUCGGAUCGUAAAACUCUGUUGGUAGAGAAGAACGUUGGUGAGAGUGGAAAGCUCAUCAAGUGACGGUAACUACCCAGAAAGGGACGGCUAACUACGUGCCAGCCGCCGCAGUAA
rnacentral:rRNA from 1 species